GGAAGCAUCUAUUACAGACUUGGCUUAAAAAAGUCAGAAAAGAUAUCUGUGAAACUGUCCAGCUGCCUGACCCUCACGCAACCUCAGGGAGACUAUAAAGUUUGAGACCUAGUACUCCAUAUUUUGUGUUCAACCAUGGAAGACUGACCUCGAAAGUGGAAGACAAAAGCCACGACAACAGGAUGAACGAAGCAGAAAGAGGAGCUGAGCAGAGAGGACCCCGCCAUUAACUCACACGGCCAAUGCCCCCUGCCUGCCUCCCCUGCUCCAGUCCUUUCUCUGCAACUUAUUUCAACUGUGGCCUCAUCUUCCACUGGACCCUUCCUUACCCCUCCAUCCCUGGUGCUGACCUCUGUGCCUCUUCAUCCCCUGAUUAAACUCCCUUCUCUUGCACAGGUGUGCACACAGGCUCUCCUUCCCCUCCCCUCCCGCCAUGUCAACUGCAGAUUCUGCAUCUCUGGAACCAUUCCUCCUAAGAUCAAGAGGACCAGUUAUUAGUCAAAGCCCUGCUUCCUUAGCAGGCACAAACGGUCCCCACCCUGAAACACCGGAGAGGGUUAUAAACUAGGCUACAAUCGCCCUUGUGCUGGGGGCCCUGCGUCGUGAAGGGCUGAGAGCCCGGCACAGUCAGGCUGGGGCUCCACCACCUGCCCCCAACACCGCUGAGCAGGCCCACACAAGCAUCCCGAGUGGGACAGCAGCAUGUGGACUGUGUGACGGCACACCCUCAUUCUCUUUAUUCUUUUGCUUUCUCCCUUUGAAAAAUUGCUUGCUGCCCUUUUCCUACCUUCUUAAAUAAAAAUAUUUUUAAAACA